UACGGAGGAUGCGAGCGUUAUCCGGAUUUAUUGGGUUUAAAGGGUGCGCAGGCGGAGGCACAAGUCAGCGGUAAAAUCGCGGGGCUCAACCCCGGCCUGCCGUUGAAACUGGCGGCCUCGAGUGGGCGAGAAGUAUGCGGAAUGCGUGGUGUAGCGGUGAAAUGCAUAGAUAUCACGCAGAACUCCGAUUGCGAAGGCAGCAUGCCGGCUUCCUACUGACGCUGAAGCACGAAAGCGUGGGGAUCGAACAGG
rnacentral:rRNA from 1 species